rnacentral:ncRNA from 2 species
CCAAUAGCGUAUAUUAAAGUUGUUGCAGUUAAAAAGCUCGUAGUUGAAUUUUAGGCCUGGCCAGGCGGUCCGUCUUUGGCGAGUACUGUCUUGUUGUCGGGUCUUCCUUCUGGUGAACCAGUAUGCCCUUUAUUGGGUGUGUUGGGGAGCCAGGACCAUUACCUUGAAAAAAUUAGAGUGUUUAAAGCGGGCUAUUGCUUGAAUAGAUUAGCAUGGAAUAAUAGAAUAGGACGUUGUGGUUCUAUUUUGUUGGUUUCUAGGACCACCGUAAUGAUUAAUAGGGAUAGUUGGGGGCAUUAGUAUUCAAUUGUCAGAGGUGAAAUUCUUGGAUUUAUUGAAGACUAACUAUUGCGAAAGCAUUUGCCAAGGAUGUUUUCAUUAAUCAAGAACGAAAGUUAGGGGAUCGAAGACGAUCAGAUACCGUCGUAGUCUUAACCAUAAACUAUGCCGACUAGGAAUCGGGCGACGUUAUUUUAAUGACUCGCUCGGCGCCUUAUG